rnacentral:lncRNA from 1 species
UUAAGUUUCAAAUUAUUAAUGGAUUCGAUUUGGUUAAAUAAUUGAAAGGUUAAUAUAGUAUAUUCCUUUACUAAUCUAAUGAAUUUAUCUAAAAGUCCUCGUCUAAACAUCACAAAACUAAUUGGAUUAAACAAACCCCAUCAAAACAUCACAGGCCCUUAAAUCCGUUGCACGCAAACCCUACCGUCGUUCAUGCCGCUGCUCAUGCCCAGCUGCUAUUUGUGUUGCUAUUCGUGCUGCUGCUCUUGCCUUGAAGCCGCUACUCGUGCCGUUGUUCGUGGUCUUGCUCAUGACUUGAAGCCACCGCUAAUUUGAUUUCUGGUGCUGCUUGCUGGUGGUAGGGGUAGGCAAAAUACUCGACCCGACCCGAUCUGAUCCGAAAAAAAAAUCGGGUUUAGAUUGGAUCGGGUUGUGAAUAAAACUCGAAUGGAUGCAUUUGUGUCAACCCUAUCGGAUUAUGAUCGUAUUGGGUUGAACCGAUCGAGUUGACACAAAAUAAAAAAAAUUAAACCCCAAAUACACAUUACACACACUGGAACACGAUCUACACACACCACAUACAUUGGAACACGAUCUACACACAACACACCACACACACACUGGACCACAUACACACCACACACUGAAACACAGACACAAAAAUAGUCAAGCAUACAUAAAGUUCACGCCCACACCCACCCAGGCACCCACAGCCCACUGCCGACCAGCAACGUAAUCGCCCACACCCACCCACAAGCCACAACCUCCCUCUCUCGCAUCCCACUACCGACGGCAACAAGCAGCAGUUACACAUCCCACACCCACAACCAAACAAACAAAAUAUAGUCACAAUCACAAACAGUCAAACACACACGAAGUUCACGGAGCAAGCUAGAUUCGGCCACCAGACGCAGCAACCGUCGAGAGCCAACGCCAACCGAAGCUACUCCGCGAGGAUGGUAACCCGAUCUACCGAUCUACUGCUACCAAGUACCGGAUCUGCUGCCCCACCUCCACGCCUCCAAUCCUCCGCCAUCACCCGAUCCGAUUCAAGCUCCAUUUGGCUGUUGAGUUUUGAAAGCUUUGGGAUGAUUCAGAUCAGAUCAGAUCGGGUUAUAGAUUCGAAUUGAAUUCGAAUGAAUUCUUAUCUAACCCGACCAACCCGAAACCCGAUCGAGUUGAUCCAAACUCGAAUCAAACCCGAUUUUGCCCACCCCUAGCUGGUGGUUGCUAAAUUAACUUGCCAAUCUCCAAUAACUUCUAUUAAAUUGCAAUUACUGAUAAAAUGCCUACUUCUUGGUGCUAAUAUGUGAAUUUAAAAUUAUAUUUUCACUUGUAUAAAUUUAUUGUUAAUUUCUUAUGGGUGGUUGAGGUUCUUGAGGAGAAUACGAUCCAUCCUAUCGUUGGCUCUUUUUUGAUUUAAUGGCAUACUACUACCUUCUUUGCUCUUGUCAAAUCCGAACUCAUCCAAAUUGAUCCGAAGCUGAACUUAUCCUAAAUAUUUAUCCGAUCUGAGAUAAUUUGGAAAAUAAUAGAAUAUUUCAUAAAAUUUACUAUUUUAUUUAGAGUUUGUUCUUCUUUGGCAAUACGCUUAAAAAAGAUUAUUCAUUCCCUUUUCGGGAGGGGUUGGCUCCUUGAUCUUUAUUUUAUUAAGAAUAUAAUCUCCCUCCCUUGGAUUAGUGCUUGAACGUAUCCCUCAAAAGUUCGGCAUGAAAUUUGAAUGAGAUAAAUUCUUUCAAAUUUAAACUAGUAAUUUAAGUUAGCCAAACUUAAAAUCAAGAUCAAAUUUGAGGUUCAGAUUAAAAUCGGAUGAAUUUUUUCCUAAUUGAAAUCAUCCAAAAUCCGAUGGGAUUUGGAUCCAAAGUUACCAAAUCCUUCGCCCUAAUACAUUCACAGAUCAUCUUUCACCAAUCCAUGUAGUUUUGGAGUUAACAAGGGCACUGCUUUUUCUUUUAAAGUCAAUAGAUUUUUAGAUUUUUUUUUUGGGGUCUUAAGCUUAUCAACAGUUUACAAAAAAAAAAAAAAAAAAGAAGAGGGGAAAGAAAAAAGGCUAUGGGCAUCUCUUUUAUCUGUUUCUUUUAAUUAAUGCAUGUGGGCAUUAUUUAUGGUUGUAAGCUAAUGGUUAGAGUUUGAGCAUUAUCUAAUUGUCAGCCAUCGGCAAUCGGAUUAAAGUAAUGAGAUCAUCCAUGGGAUAAGGACGUUAUUGAUCAAUCAAAAUGCAAUUACAGGCGCAAGACACCAAAUUACGAUAAUCUAAUCGAAUAUUGUCAGCCGGAAUCCGAGGGCGAGCCUUUGUUUUGAGAAAAUAAACCGGAAA